CUGCAGUUUGCUUGAAAAGUAUGUGUGUGGGCAGAGGAAAGGAAGAAUGGGUUAAGAAAACACAUUUUAAAAGACCAGCCAUGAGUCGAUGCUUGUUAAAAUUGACGAUGAGUUCAUUGUAGUAUUCUUUCUAGUUUUGUAUACAAAUGUAAUUUUCCAUCCUAUGUAUAUAAACACCUCGUCUCUUCUAAGGAUCCUAUUGCAGUAUUUCACAUAUAAUUUUUUAAAUAAAAUCACUUGCUACUUUCAAGUUUCUUGCCACAUCAAUCAGCAAAACAAAUAUGUGUAACAUUUUCUAUUUUCAGUAGGAUUAUUCACUUCAAAAGAGACAUGCUGCAGAGGCAGUUUCAAUUAUAACAACUUUGAAUACUGAAUAAAUUUUACUGGAGAUUUGCAAUGGAGCAGACCACCUUAUGCUGUGUUCCUUAUAUGCGUCAUCUCAAUCUAAUCCUCACACAGUUAGUUUUAUUCCAACAGUAAAAGGUGACUUGGUACUUUCCUCCAUAAUUUACCUGAAUAAGUUAUUUAUAUAACUUAUACAUGAUAAACUUAUGUAAUAAGUAUGAAUCAUAAUCUCUAUGAAAGCCAAAUAUAAAUUCUAAAGGACUAUAUAAUAUGCCGUGGCAUUAUUUUCUACUAUUGUAAUGCUUCUCUAGGAAGUUAUUUGACGUCAUACCAGUUUGACAUCUUCCCUUCAAAUACUUCAUAUACUGUCUGCAACAAAAUACAUCCUGACACAGAUUAUGACAGAUGUUUAUAUUUAAUCUUUGAAGGGCAAAUAACAUAAACAAGCAAGUAACUUUUUAAUUAGAAGAUCUUGCUUGGAGUGAUAUUAGAAAAGUAUACAGCUGAAUGGUUUGAUUUCAUAUUUGUUAAGUUAGAGUCAAAAUAAGAGGCCACUAAAUUCAAAAGAGUUUUAAAAUUUUAAAGAGUAAGAAGAUAGUUGAUAUGAGUAUCUGGAGAAUUCAAAACAGUGAGCCAGCUAUUGAGAGAAGCUGGAGAAUAUUUAAAGUCCCAUUAUACUUACUUUACAUGCUGUCAUCAAAAAAUUUACUUUGUUUUUAAAAAAAUUGUUCUAUGGCUUGCUUUUGCAUAAUUAAAAACCAUGAGACAAUAUUUAUUUUAUUUGUUUUUGUGCGAAAUUGUGUUUAUUCAUUAUGUGUUUGCUAUAGUUAAUUAAACUCACUCAUCACCCUUGUAGAGUCAACCAGUCUGUGACUUCACUGAUCUUGCUAUAAUCAACAAUCACCAAUACGAAAGCAGUGUAGAUUUUCUAGAAAUCAGCAUAAGCAUUUGUGAGACGUUUCUUUCUUGCAUCAGCUGUGGAAAAUUUUAUUUGUAAAAUACAAAUGAAUUCUCAACCUUUCAUCUCCAUUUUGUUAUGAAGUUCAUUGUCUAGUAAAUUAUCUGGGUUUAGAGCCUGGCCCACAGUUUACCCUAUGACCAUGGGAAAGCCUCCUUUUUCUGUUUCCUCAUCAGUAAAUGGACACCCCUGUCCCGCUUUCAAGACAGUUAUAUUGUAUAGUAGCAUAACAUUCAUGGUAAGUGUUCAAAAAGAGCAUUUCUUCCCUUCAUGUGAGAUGACUUAUUUUUCCUUUUCUUUUUUUUUUUUUUUUUUUUUGAGACACAGUCUCCCUUUGUUGUCCAGGCUGGAGUGCAGUGGCAUGAUCAUAGCUCACCGCCACCUUGAACUCCUGGUCUCAUGGAUCCCCCCAUCUCAGCCUUCUGAGUAGCUGGGACUACAG
rnacentral:lncRNA from 1 species